CAAACCACAUUCCACAGCAGCAAAACGCAGGAGAAGUGAAUGAGAUAAUAUUGUUUUCAUUUUUCUCUGGGGCUUCUCAGCUUCCCAAGGGAAGAAUCCCGGACAAAGAGAUUUUUCAGAAAAUGUGACAGUGACAUUAGUAUUGUCAGUGGUCUAGAGGAGAGGACUUCCACACUGUAACCUUGGAAAACUGAACUUUCAACUUUUUGACUCAAACUUAUAUGUAUAGUGACAAAGAACAGCACUGGAGGGGAUUAUUCUUGCUGCACUUGCAGGAGAUUAUCACCAGGGAUGGUUCUUCACUCAGUGCCACUUGAGGCAACUAUAUGCAACAAAGGAAAGGUUGCAGAAUAAUCCAAAAAGUCCAGCUCAGAUGUCUGGUAAUGGUAUUCUCUGGUCAAUGUGAAUCACUCAUGGUGCAUUGACUGAUAGGGAGGAAUUUCAACAGCAAUUAAAGGACUGGCAGAGCCACAGCUGUCUAUACACCUGAACAAUCUGUGUAGGUGCCAAAAUCUACGACAGCCUUGCAAAGUUUGAGAGAAGAUAUGGAGGACACUUGUCUUGGUUAUGGAAGAUUAAAUAGCAAACCAUAUGUGCUGGGAGCCCUUGAAUCUUCCAUGUGGCUGAUGGGAUGUAUAUCACACCUUAAAGGAGGACCAAAGGACUGAACAGGCAUAUUGCACCAAUGCAAAGGGUUUAAUUAUGUGCUUGGCUUUUAGAGAUGGCUCAAUAAUAUUUUAUAAAGAGUGCUUUAGCAAGAAAAGCACUUGGUGGUAGCUUUAAUUGGUUUAGAAGUGUAAAUAUUUGAUAGACCAUCUGUUGGUGACACUGCAGCAGAACAAGAGCUGCUCCAUUUUGACUCUCUGUGGAUUCUUGAAGAGCAGAGACACUCAUUUCAGAUACUGAGAGCCAGGAAAAGAUGAAAUUUGAAUCCUAAUCUGUCAUACUUCAAAUUCUAAUCAGAUUUGCAAGGCAAAUGUGCAAUUACUCAAAGUGGGCACAGGGCUUCACAGAUUAUUUUUUCUUUUGGCUCAAGCCUAAUGUGAACAAUUUUAUUGGGAGCUACAGCUGUGAGUAUGCUGUUUGGACAAGUCACACUACUAAACCAAGAAUAUUUGAUAAAAAAAUAAAAGAAAAAAAAAGGAAAAUCAGGUGACCUGAAAAAAAAAUCAGAACUGACAGUAAGACUGUCAGCACGUUUAUUUUUAUUUUGAACUCACCAGAGCAACAUCUCUAUGGGAAAGCUUUUGUAGAAGUCAAAUCUUCAAAACCCACGUGAGAAGGGGCAUUACUAUUUUCAUUUCCAUUGCAAAAAUUCUUAUUUAAAGUGCCUCAAGGAGUUUGGUGACUUACUGCCUUAUAUUUGAACUCUCCAUUCUUGCUUUCCAAACUCAGCAAAAUUCCAGGCUAUCACCUUGAGCUCAGCUUCAGUUUAACAUUGCACCCACUUUGCUGCCUUCAUUUACUCUUAAAUUUCACUCCUCGUGGCCCUUCUUUACCUAAGCACUCAUUUUAGCUUAGUUUAUGUGUGAAUCAGAGACUAUGUGUAACCUAUUUUUUGUGUGUGUGUGCAUGUGAAUUUACAUGAAUCUCAGUGUAUUAUAGGUAUGGAAAGCUGGAAAUUGCAAUGACGCCAUAUAAUUGUACCAACAGUGGU